CCAUGGCGACGGACCUUGACCGAUUUGAGUACCUAUAUUGCGAAUCAUCUAUCCUUUCAAAUCGGAAGAUGUUCUCAAUGUAGGCUUCUUAAGUCGCGAUCAAUCUCAGCAUUCAAA
rnacentral:precursor_RNA from 8 species